rnacentral:lncRNA from 1 species
GGCAACUUCUGUUCUUUCCCUCGCUGGAUACAGCAGGAGCCAUGACCGUCUGAGAGGAGACUCUAAGACGCAUGCUCAUAUCCUCCCUGGGUGAACAAAGUGUUAAAUUCAGAGUAGCUGGUCAACGUAGGUGAUGGAGUAGGGUGUGUGGGCUACACUCCUUGCCCUCUGCUUUCCCUGUGGUUACACGUGCAGGUCAGUCAAGAUGAGGGAUGACUGUUGGGCUCCCUGGGCUACGCCUCUCUCAUGCUCCAGACUUACACUUUCCAGUUCUGCAGCUGUGUUUCCUUCCUAGACUUUCCUGGAUGGAGGUAAAUAAUUACGGAAGACUCGGUAUAAAUCCCCUUCUGGGCAAAGAAGCACAGAGUUUGAAUCUCUCGGGUCAAACCCUCCCCUCACUCUGAGUCCUGCUUGCAGGUUCUUGAGCCUUCUUGUGGAGACUGGACCCAUGGCCUGGGCUGAUGAUGGCUUCCUUUGUCCUUGGCUAAGCCACCAGACAUCUGCAUCUGUCUGAGAGGCAGCCCUGAGCUGACACAUCUCCCUGCUCAUCCUUCCGUCCAAAUGUGUCACCUUGGGCAGUCCUUUACCUGACACUGCUGCUGCUCAUCCUCAUGCAUGUAAGAGAAGACCGAGUCUCACAAGAGCCCGAUUGGAAUCAGCAAUGGUUGUCUGUGGUCCGUCACAGCAUUUACUGAAGUUAAAACCUCAAAGAUAGGGUCUUAACCUUCCUAAUGCUGCAACUUUUCUUAUACAGUUCCUGAUGUUAUAGUGAUCCCCCAACCAUAAAAUUAUUUAUGCUACUUCAUAACUGUAAUUUUGCUACUGUUGUGAAUCAUAAUGGAAAUGUUUGAUAAGCAAGAAAGAUAUCUGAUAGGAAACUCCUGUGGGGGUCAUGGCCCACAGGUUGAGAACCAUCGCUCUAAGGUGUGUGGAUGUAGUUAGGUCAUGAUGCAUGAAGGUUGCACAAUUUGGUGCUUUGUUUAAGAAGUAUUUAGAGCAGAUCUUUGAGAAUGGGAUGAAAGCUCUAGAAACCUCUAGAAAACUGCUCAUAUAUCUGUAUUUCAAACUGCAUAGAAUUCUGGGGGGUGUGGCCAGGAUCACCACUCUGAUGGCAUCAUGCAUCGGUUUCCCCUCUGGGAUUGCUGUGACCCUUGAGCUUAUAACCCUGACUUUGAGUGUUUGAAUUGUUAGCCUCGGUGCCAAUGCUACGCUAUUGACAUUUCAGAAUUCAUAUCGAGUACUGAUGAUAUGCAAAGUGUCAGGUUUGUUUAAUCCUGUGGUUUUGUCUGCAUUCUGUACAUGCCCAUGUCUAUAUGCAAAGUGCCUAUUCACAUGUGUGUAGAGGCCAGAAGUCAACCAUGGCCAUCUUCCCCUGUGACCGUCGACCUUAUAUUCUUAGAGAUGGGGGUCUCAUACUGACUGUGGAACUAUUCAACUAGGCUGGUUGGCCAGCAAGCUCCGGCGAUUCUCUGGGCUCUUUUUAACGUUUGUAUUACAGGUGCAGCUUACAACACCUGGCCUUAAAAUUGGGGGUUGAAGGGGGGAGAUCUGAACUCAAGUCCUUAAGCUUUCACAACAAGCGCCUCCCUCCCCAGAUAGCACUUUGAACUUUGUUUUCAUUUUCUAGUCUGCUAGACCAGGUGACCAAGCUGUUAAUGUUCCACUUGUGCCCUUUGGUGAGCUGAAAGACAAGGAGAGGGCUAGACAAUAACCCCUCACUGAGAUGACAAACCAAUUAUCGGAUUGAGAUCAGAAUACAUUACCCUGAGUGGCAUCGGCAGAUUUCCUGAAUUCCACUGGCAUUGACCUAUGACGAUGCUUGGAAUUGUGAAAGAUUUAUUUUCUGUAAUUAUGGGGGUUGAGCGGACAGGGCACGGGGAGGGGGGUAGUGGUGGUUGGGGAAGUGAGUCUGGGAGAAGAGUAAGAUAUGAAACGCUGAUCCUCAACUGAACUUUUAUAGGCCUGGUUGCUGAGAUAAACAGCUGUCUGGUAGGUUGUAGGGGGUAAUUACCCACUCAGCACAGGGCUGCUUAGGUGGUUGGCGGUCCCCCAAGGCUGCUGUGAGGAGAGCUUCAUGCUGUGCUUCUCCUCAUCCCAGCAGAUCAGUCCCAGGCUGUUUCUUGUUCCUUUUCUUCUAAUGGACUAAUAGCACAGCUAUGGUCUAAUUUGGGCUUGCUACUGUUUGGGUGCUUUUCAUGUUAUCUAAUCUUUAAUAUUUACCAAGAGUGGGGAGGAUGUGGCAUCAUGGGGUUUGGUCAUUAAAAGCUGCUCUACCAAAGCCCGCUCAGAUUCAAGCCGCUGUUAAGAGGUCUGCAUAGUCAUCUUGAUGCCUUAUUUCAGCAGUCUUGCUUGCGUGCAGAACGAUGGAAUGGGAAUGUUGUACAGGCUGAACGAGGGCGAGUUCACAUCUCAAUGCAGCUUUUAUGCUUCUCUCUAUUCUGAGCAUGUUAUCAGCUUUUCAUAAUGUCUGGGUCCCAUGAUGCAGCGGCUCAUACUUUAAAAUAAAUAGUCUAUACAAUUGUUCUGG